AAGAAGUGCUAGAGAAAGCUCUGCUUAUGGUUCAAAUUUCUCAGAAGAACUACCUUUAUAAAUGUGAUCAAUUGAAGUCUAUUCGCCAAGAUCUAACCGUACAACGAAUAAAAAAUCAGCUAACAGUUAAGGUGUAUGAAACUCAUGCUCGGUUAGCAAUGGAAGUAGGGGACUUGCCUGAGUGUAAUCAGUGCCAAUCACAGUUAAAAACCCUGUAUGAUGAAGGAAUCGAAGGA
rnacentral:misc_RNA from 1 species